UUCCUACGGGGGGCAGCAGUGGGGGAUAUUGCACAAUGGGCGAAAGCCUGAUGCAGCGACGCCGCGUGAGGGAAGACGGUCUUCGGAUUGUAAACCUCUGUCUUUGGGGAAGAAAAUGACGGUACCCAAAGAGGAAGCUCCGGCUAACUACGUGCCAGCAGCCGCGGUAAUACGUAGGGAGCAAGCGUUGUCCGGAAUUACUGGGUGUAAAGGGAGCGUAGGCGGGAUGGCAAGUUGGGUGUUAAAUCUACCGGCUCAACUGGUAGUCGCACUCAAAACUGCUAUUCUUGAGUGAAGUAGAGGCG
rnacentral:rRNA from 1 species